UACUGUAUAGCACAGGAAACUCUACUCAAUAUUCUGUGAUAACCUUUAUGAGAAAAAACCUAAAAAACAAUGAAUAUACGUAUAACUGAAUCACUUUGCUGUACACCUGAAACUAACACAACAUUGUAAAUCAACUACACUCCAAUAAAUUUUUUUUUAACUAUAAAAAAAAAAAAGAACAUCUUUUUUUCAAAGAACCCUCUGGGAGUAUGUGUUUCAACUGUGUUGACUUCUUGCCCUCAUUUAAUGAAGCCAGAAGCCCCUGGGCUUGUGCCGUACCAUGAAGCCUUUGUCCGGUUCCCCUGUUUUUAAGUGUUGUAUGGGCUAGAAAGAGCCCAAGGAUUAGUGGGGUUGAAGCUCUGCUCUUUAUUUUUUUAUUUAAUUUUUAUUUUAUAUUGGAGUAUAGUUGAUUUACAAUGUUGUGUUAGUUUCAGGUAUACAGAAAUUGAUUCAGUUAUAUAUAUACAUAUAUCCAUUCUUCUUCAGAUUAUUUUCUAUAUAGAUUAUUACAGAAUGUUGAGUACAGUUCCCUGUGCUAUACAAUAGGUCCUUGUUGAUUAGAAGCUCUGCUGUUCAGAGGCCACAAAGCUUGUAUAUUCUCCUUUCUUAUCUUAUGCCAGAAACAAGGGUGGUUUUUGUCUAUUUAGGAAUAUUGCAGUUAUUUCAUCCAGUAUGCUGCUUGGAUUUACCAUCUUACCUUUAUUCAUGUCAAUAAAUAUUUACUGAGUAUCUUCUAAGUGCCAGGUAUUGAUUAAUCUGAAUUUAUAGAAAUCACACAUCUGGUGGGAAGACACUCUUGUUGAAUAACUCCACUACAUUUAAUGAAGUUAAGGGGUACUUCACAUCUGGAUUUAUUAGAUCUGAGGUUAUAAUUUUAAUAUUCUUUUUCUGACAUUUUAUGUAUUAUCUGACUUAAAAGUUUCUGUAAAGCUGAAGAAAAUUGGCUCGUCAUGAGGAACUUCAGGACUUUCUUCAGGCUAAGAAAACUAACCACAAAUGCAGUGAAAUCAUUGGAGCAGAGGCUGCAUUUAGAUUUUAUUCAGACUAACUUCUAACUCUUGAAAACCUAAGCAUAUAUUUUUGCACAGUAAGUUACAAGUUUAUUUUCAUACAAGCAAACAAGAAGUAAGGUGAUGUAGUGGAAAGCAUGUGGGAUUUGAGUAAGUUCUGGCCCUACUGUUUGUUAACUGUGUGGCUUUGGUGAACCACUACCUCUCUUAGCCUGAAAAGGGGUAAUUAUAAUGGAAUGCUUCAGAGUUAUUGAAUUUAUAAUUUAAUAACUUCAGAGUUAUUGUGAGUGUAGUUUAUCUCCUUUAAUAAAGUGCUCUCCUAAUGAUUGUUGUUAGGCAAGGGGUGGGACAAUGGAAAGAGUGAACACAAGAACAAUCUUCGCUACAUUUCAGUUCUCUCCUUUUUAUAAAUACGAGACCAGUUAUGCCGCCAUUUUAACCUGGCUGCCGAGCUGUGGCUGGUUAGAGGUUCCAUUCUGGUAGUGGCCAGAUGAUAUAAAAAAUUGUUACGACUGAACUGUACUACAUACUUUCUUAAAUUUUUAGGAGAUUCUGGAUAUGUCGUUUCUGAUGGUUAUCUUAAGUCAGUUUUCUUCCCCCCGCCUUUUUUUUUUUUCAGGAAGUAACUUUUUAAAAAACAUUGAGGUAUAGUUGAUUUACAGUAUUAUAUUACUUUCAGAUGUACAACAUAGAGAUUCAAAAAUUUUAUAGAUUAUAUACCAUUUAAAGUUAUUAUAAGGACUUCCCUGGUGGCACAGUGGUUAAGAAUCCACCUGCCAAUGCAGGGGAAAUGGGUUCGAUCCCUGGACCAGGAAUAUCCCACAUGCUGCGGAGCAACUAAGCCCGUGCACCACAACUACUGAGCCUGUGCUCUAGAGCCCACGAGCCACAACUACUGAAGCCUGCAUGCCUAGAGCCUGUGCUCUGCAACAAGAUAAGCCACCACAUUGAGAAGCCCACGCAUUGCAAUGAAGAGUAGCCCCUGCUCACCGCAACUAGAGAAAGCCCGCACACAGCAAUGAAGACCCAAUGCAGCCAUAAAUAAAUAAAUAAAUAAAUAAAUUUUUUUAAAUGAUAAACUUAUUAUAAAAUAUUGGCUAUACUCCCUGUGCUGUACAUUAUACCCUUGUACCUUAUUUAUUUUAUACAUAGUAGUUUGUACUUCUUAAUCCCCUGCCUCUAUCUUGCUCCUCCCUGCUUCCCUCUCCCCACUGAUAACCACUAGUUCUCUGUAUCUGUGCGUCUGUUUCUGUUUUGUUUUGUUCACUAGUUGUAUUUUUUUAGAUUCCACAUAUAACUGAUAACAUACAGUAUUUGUCUUUGUCUGAUUUAUUUCACUUAGCAUAGUGCCCUCAAAGUCCAUCCCUGUUGUUAGAAAUAGCAAGAUUUUACUCUUUUUUAUGGCUGAGUAAUAUUCCAUUGCAUAUAUAUACCACAUCUUCUUUAUUCAUUCAUCUGUUGAUGGACACUUUAGGUUGCUUCCAUAUAUUAGCUAUUGUAAAUAAUGCUGCUGUGAAUGUUGGAGUGCAUGUAUCUUUUCGAAUUGGUGUUUUGGGGGUUUUUUUUGAUAAAUACCCCAGAGUGGAAUUGCUGGAUCCUAUGGUAGUUCUUUUUUAGUUUUUGGAGAAACCUCCAUACUGUUUCGCAUAGUGGCUGCACCAAUUUGCAUUCUCACCAUGAGUGUACAGAGAUUCCCUUUUCUCCAUAUCCUCGCCAAUAUUGUUAUUUGCGAUCUUUUCGAUGAUAGCCAUUCUGACAGGUGUGAGGUGAUACCUCAUUGUGGUUUUGAUUUACAUGUCUCUGAUGAUUAGCAGUGUUGAACAUCUCUUCAUGUGCCCAUUGGCCAUCUGUGUGUCUUCUUUGGAAAAAUGUCUAUUCAGGUCUUUUGCCCACUUUUAAUUUUUUUAUUUGAAUUUUAUUUUAUUUAUUUUUUUAUACAGCAGGUUCUUAUUAGUUAUCUAUUUUAUACAUAUUAGUGUAUAUAUGUCAAUCCCAAUCUCCCAAUUCAUACCACCACCACCACCACCACCACCACCACCAUCACCCCCACGUUCCCCCCUUGGUAUCCAUACAUUUGUUCUCUACAUCUGUGUCUCUAUUUCUGCCUUGCAAACCGGUUCAUCUGUACCAUUUUUCUAGAUUCCACAUAUAUACGUUAAUAUAUGAUAUUUGUUUUUCUCUUUUUGACUUAUUUCAUUCUGUAUGACAGUCUCUAGGUCCAUCCACGUCUCUACAAAAUGACCCAAUUUCAUUCCUUUUUGUGGCUGAGUAAUACUCCAUUGUAUAUAUGUACCACAUCUUCUUUAUCCAUUUGUCUGUUGGUGGGCAUUUAGGUUGCUUCCAUGACCUGGCUAAAUAGUGCUGGUAAAUAGUGCUGCAAUGAACAUUGGGGUGCAUGUGUCUUUUUGAAUUAUGGUUUUCUCCAGGUAUAUGCCCAGUAGUGGGAUUGCUGGGUCAUAUGGUAAUUCUAUUUUUUAGUUUUUUAAGGAAACUCCAUACUGUUCUCCAUAGUGGCCGUAUCAUUUUACAUUCCUACCAACAGUGCAAGAGGGUUCACUUUUCUUCUGCCCAUUUUUUAAUCAGAUUUUUUUUGAUGUUGAGUUGCACGAGCUAUUUUUAUAUUUUGGAUAUUAACCCCUUAUUGGUCAUAUCAUUUGCAAAUAUUUCCCCCCAUUCAGUAAGUUGUCUUUUUGUUUUGUCAUUGGUUUUCUUUGCUGUGCUAAAGUUUUUAAGUUUAAUUAGGUCCCACUUGUUUAUUUUUGCUUUUGUUUCCUUUGCCUUAGGAGACAGAUCCAAAAAAAUAUUGCUACAAUUUAUGUCAAAGAGUGUUCUACCUAUGUUUUCUUCUAGGAUUUUUAUGGUUUCCAGUAUUAUAUUUAGGUCUUUAAUUGGUUUUGAUUUUAUUUUUGUAUAUGGUGUGAGAAAAUAUUCACAUUUCAUUCUUUUACAUGUAGCUGUUCAGUUUUUCCAGCACCACUUUUUGAAUAGACUGUAUUUUCUCUGUUAUAUAUUCUUGCCUUCUUUGUCAUAGAUUAAUUGACUGUAAGUGCAUGGGUUUAUUUUUGAGCUCUCUAUUCUGUUCCAUUGAUCACUGUGUCUGUUUUUGUGCCGGUACUAUGCUGUUUUGAUUACUGUAGCUUUGUGCUGUAGUCUGAAGUCAGGGAGCAUGAUACCUCCAGCUCUGCUCUUCUUUCUCAAGAUUGCUUUGGCUAUUCGGGGUCUUUCAUGUUUCCACACAAAUUUUAUAAUUAUUUGUUCUAAUUCUGUGAAAAAUGCCAUUGAUAUUCUCAUAGGGAUUGCAUUGAAUCUGUAGAUUGCCUUUGACAGUAUGGUCAUUUUAACCAUAUUAAUUCUUUCAAUCCAUGAACAUGGUAUAUCUUUCCACUUGUUUGUGUCGUCUUCAAUUUCUUUCAUCAGUGUCUUACAGUUUUUUAACUACAGGUCUUUUACCUCCUUAGUUACAUUUAUUCCUAGGUAUUUUAUUCUUUUUGAUGCAAUGAUAUAUGGUAUCAUUUUUAAUUUCUCUUUCUGAUAGUUCUUUGUUAGUGUAUAGAAAUGCAAUAGAUUUCUGUGUACUAAUUUUGUAUCCUGCAGCUUUACCAAAUUCGUUGAUGAGCUCUAGUAGUCUUCUGGUGGUGUCUUUAGGGUUUUCUAUGAAUAGUAUCAUGUCAUCUGCAAACAGGGACAGUUUUACUUCUUCCUUUCCAAUUUGGAUUCUUUUUCUUUUUCUUCUCUGAUUGCUGUGGUUAGGACUGCCCACCCCCCUUUUUAAACAGCUUUAUUGAGAAAUAAUUUAUAUCCCAUAUAGUUCACUCAUUUAAAUUUUACAAUGCAGUGGCUUUUGGUGUAUUCACAAAGUUGUGCAUCCAUUAUCAUAAUCAAUUUUAGACCAUUUUCGUUAUCAUUAUCCCCAAAAGAAACCCUGCUCCCAUAACCAUCAUUCCCUAAUACUGCCACCAUCCCCUCACAUACACCAUUCCUACCCUUAAGAAAUCACUAACAUACUCUUUCUCUUUCUAUAGAUUUGCCUAUUCUGGGCUUUCAUAUAAAUGGAAUCAUACAAUAUGUGGUCCUUUUUGACUGGCUUCUUUUACCUAGCAUGGUCUUUUCAAGAUCUAUCCACGUUCCCUUUUUGUUACAUUAAGAUUCUUAGAAGCACACCAACUUAUCCUGUAGGAAGAAGAGAUAAAGUGACUUUUUUUUUUUUGUGGCAUGCGGGCCUCUCACUGUUGCGACCUCUCCUGCUGCGGAGCCCAAGCUCCAGACAUGCAGGCUCAGCGGCCAUGGCUCACAGGCCCAGCUGCUCUGCGGCAUGUGGGAUCUUCCCAUAACGGGGCACGAACUCGUGUCCCCUGCAUCAGCAGGCAGACUCUCAACCACUGCGCCACCAGGGAAGCCCCAAUAAAGUGACUUUUUAAAAAUAAAGUUGAUUGGUGUCCCAUGACUGGUUGUCAGUUACAAAUGAUUAGAAAAGCCCUAUAAACAGUUACUGUGGCUGCAAACCAAAGAAUGGUGUUUCAAUAUAAAAUGUGGAAAAGAUUCAUGUGCCAGUAUUAUUUUUUUUGUUGCAUUUAUGUACGUUAAUAAUGUCAUGAUUAUUGGUACAUCCCUCAGUACAAGUAAUAAUAAUGUGUAACUCGGGGAAACUAGAGUUACACAUUACAAUGGGACUAUUGUAACUAAAACCAUUGCACCACUGUUAUUUUUAAUUGCUGUUUUCCUCUUGUAACUAAUUUUUCUGCUGAGAGUUCUGCAUAACUCAGUAAUUAUUCUGUAAUGCCUAUGGUUACAUGUUACAUGCAAUUGUCUGUUGUUACAUGCUACAUUUUUAAUUUUUAUGUGAGCUUGAUGAGCUAAGUGCUAGGUGUUUUAUUUGGGGAUAACCAAUGAUUAUAUGUUAGUAUAAGUGAGUUAUUAGAAACAAGAUACAUAGAAGUACAAUCCACAGAGCAUAUUUCCCCCAAGUUUGUGGCUGCAGUUAAAAAAGCCAGGCUUUUGACUUUGAAAAACCCAUCCUCUUUGUGCCUCAGGUUCUUCCUCUGCAAAGUGAGUCAUUUGGACUACAACACUUAAUUAAGGAUGAUGGUCUUUAUGGUUCUGUGAAGAUGUAUAUGUAAAUGUAUUAUUGAUGGUUCCAGACUACUUCCUAUCAAGAAGAUUGCAUUGUACUGUGGAAUUUCCUGUGUUCUACUUAGUUAUCCAAUGUGGUGCCAUGACAGAAGGCUAAUGACAUGUCUUAACAAAAAUCAUAUUUUUCUGAACUGGAAUUAAGAUCCAUGAUCUGAUAUUGCAAAUGUCUAUUAAUACAAAAUAAUUUAAAAUAGUACUCAUCCAGAACAUUUCUAUAUUAGAUAGAUGGGUUCAACUGUGAGUAACAAAAAACACAAAACAACAACUGGUUUAAAACAAGAUUAAAAUUUAUUUCUCACUCAUGUAAGAGUUGGCACUGAUCUGAUAGGGAACUUCAUGGCAUCAUGAAGGGAACUUCAUGACGUUUUACCAAUUAUCCCCUUUCCUUCUUAGUACUCUAUUCUCCUCUUGAGUGUAAACCAUAUUCUUAUUAAGCAAGAUCAUGGCAUCCACAUUACAGGGUGGAGAAAGGGAUGAAGCAGAAGGUGGGAGGCACCUUCAGUGCUCUGUUAAUCAUGAUUCCCAGACCCUUCUUUGUGAAUCAUCAUGUGUGAAUCCAUGAAACAUGUGGCCAUGCACAGCUGCAGGGAAAGUUGGAAAGUGGAGCCAUGUGCCCAGCUAAAACUCCUGAUUAGAGUGGAAGACAGGGAAAAGAGAUAUUGGGGGGAAGGUGUCUCUGCUAUCUGGAUAGGCAAAAAGGAAAACCAAGGAGUGUUUGUUUGCCAUUAUAUCUCUUCCACUAAAGAAGGAAGCUUCUGUGUUUUUAGAUGCCAAUACUGGUUCUCCAAAUGGAACUGUCCUUUUAGAAGAGAAGAGCUGACAGUGUAAUAGAAACAUCUCAAGAAUAUGUCAUUCUCAGGACUUCCCUGGUGGCUCAGUGGUUAAGAAUCUGCCUUCCAGUGCAGGGGAGACGGGUUCAAUCCCUGAUCUGGGAAGAUCCCACAUGCCACAGAGCAACUAAGACUGUGCGCCGCAACUACUGAGCCUAGUUCUAGAGCCCACAAGCCACAACUACUGAGCCCAUGUGCCACAACUACUGAAGUCUAUGCACCAAGAGCCCCUGUUCCAUAGGAAGAGAAGCCACCGCAAUGAGAAGCCUGCGCACAGCAACGAAGAGUACCCACCGCGUGCAGCAACAAAGACCCGGUGCAGCCAAAAACUAAUUAAUUAAAAAGGAGUCCACUUGCAGACAAGCAAAAGCAAAAGCUAAGAGAAUUCAGCACCACCAAACCAGCUUUACAACAAAUGCUAAAGAAACUUCUCUAAGUGGGAAACACAAGAGAAGAAAAAGACCUACAAAAACAAACCCAAAACAAUUAAGAAAAUGAUAAGAGGAACAUACAUAUAGAUAAUAACCUUGAAUGUAAAUGGAUUAAAUGCCCCAACCAAAAGACACAGACUGGCUGAAUGGAUACAAAAACAAGACCUAUAUAUAUGCUGUCUACAACAGACCCACUUCAGACCUAGGGACAUGUACAGACUGAAAGUGAACGGAUGAAAAAGAUAUUCCAUGCAAAUGGAAAUCAAAAGAAAGCUGGAAUAGCAAUACUCAGUCAGGUGAAAUAGACUUUAAAAUAAAGACUGUUACAAGCGAUAAGGAAGGACACUACAUAAUGAUCAAGGGAUCAAUCCAAGAAGAAGAUAUAACAAUUGUAAAUAUUUAUGGACCCAACAUAGGAGCACCUUAAUACAUAAGGUAAAUGCUUACAACCAUGAAAGGAGAAAUUGACAGUAACACAAUAAUAGUAGGGGACUUUAACACCCCACUUACACCAAUGGACACAUCAUCCAAAUAGAAAAUAAAUAAGGAAACACAAGCUUUAAAUGACACAAUAGACCAGAUAGAUUUAAUUGAUAUUUAUAGAACAUUCCACCUGAAAGUGGCAGAAUACACUUUCUUCUCAAGGGCACAGGGAACAUCUCCAGGAUAGGUCACAUUGUGGGUCACAAAUCAAGCCUCGGAAAAUUUAAGAAUAUUGAAAUCAUAUCAAACAUCUUUUCUGACCACAGCGCUAUGAGAUUGGAGAUCAAUUACAGGGAAAAAAACUGUAAAAACCACAAAUACAUGGAGCCUAAACACUGCAUUACUAAAUAACCAAGAGAUCACUGAAGAAAUCAAAGAAGAAAUUAAAAAAUACGUAGAAAGAAAUGACAACGAAAAUACAAUGACCCAAAACCUAUGGGACACAGCAAAAGCAGUUCUUGACUAGAAGUUUAUAGCAAUUCUGUCUCUCAAGAAACAAGAAAAAUCUCAAAUAAACAAUCUAACCCUACACCUAAAGCAACUAAAGAAAGAAGAACAAAGAAAACCCAAAGUCAGUAGAAGGAAAGAAAUCAUAAAGAUCAGAGCAGAAAUAAAUGAAAUAGAAACAAAGAAAACAAUAGCAAAGAUCAAUGAAACUAAAAGUUGGUUCUUUGAGAAGAUAAACAAAAUUGAUAAACCCUUAGCCAGACUAAUCAAGAAAAAAAGGGAGAGGAUGCAAAUCAAUAAAAUUAGAAAUGAAAAAGGAGAAAUCACAACUGACACCGCAGAAAUACAAAGAAUUAUAAGAGACUACCACAAACAACUAUAUGCCAAUAAAAUGGACAAACAUGAAGAAAUGGACAAAUUCUUGGAAAGGUACAGUUUUCCAAGACUGAACCAGGAAGAAUUAGAAAAUAUAAAUAGACCUAUCACAAGUAAUGAAAUUGAAACUUUAAUUUAAAAUCUUCCAACAAAGAAAAAACCAGGACCACAUGGCCUCACACCAAUCCUUCUCAAACUUGCAAAAACUUGCAGAGGGAGGAACACUCCCAAAUUCAUUCUACGAAGCCACCCUGAUACCAAAACCAGAAAAGGAUAUCACAAAAAAAGAAAAUUAUAGACCAAUAACACUGAUGAGCAUAGAUGCAAAUAUCUUGACAAAAUACUUGCAAACAGAAUCCAACAACAUAUUAAAAGGAUCAUACACCAUGAUCAAGUGAGAUUUAUCCCAGGGAUGUAUGGAUUCUUCAGUAAACCAAAUCAAUCAAUGUGAUACACCAUAUUAACAAAUUUAGGAAUAAGAACCAUAUGAUCAUCUCAAUAGAUGCAGAAAAAGCUUUUGACAAAAUUCAACACCCAUUUAUGAUAAAAACUCUCCAGAAAAUGGGCAUAGAGGGAACCUACCUCAACAUAAUGAAGGCCAUAUAUGACAAACCCACAGCAAGCAUCAUACUCAAUGGUGAAAAACUGAAGGCAUUUCCACUAAGAUCAGGAACAAGACAAGGAUGUCCACUCUCACCACUCUUAUUCAACAUAGUUUUGGAAGUCCUAGCCAUGGCAAUUAGAGAAGAAAAGAAAUAAAAGUAAUACAAAUUGGAAAAGAAGUAAAACUGUCACUGUUUGCAGAUGACAUGAUACUAUACAUAGAAAAUCCUAAAGAUGCCACCAGAAAACUACUAGAACUAAUCAGUGAAUUUGGUAAGGUUGCAGGAUACAAAAUUAAUGCACAGAAAUCUCUGGCAUUCCUAUACACUAACAAUGAAAAAUCUGAAAGAGAAAUUAAGGAAACGAUCCCAUUUACCGUCACAACAAAAAGAAUAAAAUACCUAGGAAUAACCCUGCCUAAAGAGGCGAAAGACUUGUACUCAGAAAACUAUAAAACACUGAUGAGGGCUUCCCUGGUGGCGCAGUGGUUAAGAAUCCACCUGCCAAUGAAGGAGACACGGGUUCGAGCCCUGGUCCAGGAAGAUCCCACAUGCCACGGAGCAGCUAAGGCCAUGUGCCACAACUACUGAGCCUGUGCUCUAGAGCCCAUGAGCCACAACUACUGAGCCCAUGUGCCACAACUAUUGAAGCCUGCAUGCCUAGAGCCUGUGCUCCCAACAGGAGAAGCCACCACAAUGAGAAGCCUGCACACCACAAUGAAGAGUAGCCCCUGCUCGCUGCAAUCAGACAAAAGCCCGCACACAGCAACGAAGACCCAAUGCAGCCAAAAAUAAAAUAAAAUAAAUUAAUUUAAAAAAAAACAACAAACACUGAUGAAAGAAAUGAAAGGUUGAUGGAUAAAGAUACCAUGUUCUUGGAUUGCAAGGAUCAAUAUUGUGAAAAUGACUGUACUUCCCAAAACAAUCUACAGAUUCAAUGCAAUCCCUAUCAAACUACCAAUCACAUUCUUCACAGAAUUAGAACAAAAAAUUUUACAAUUUGUAUGGAAACACAAAAGACCCUGAAGAGCCAAAGCAAUCUUGACAAAGAAAAAUGGAGUUGGAGGAAUCAGGCUCCCGACUUCAAACUAUACUACAAAGCUACAGUAAUCAAGACAGUAUGGUACUGGCACAAAAACAGAAAUAUAGAUCAAUGGUACAGGAUAGAAAGAGAAACCCAUACACAUAUGGUUACUUAAUUAAUUUAUGACAAAGGAGGCAAGAACAUACAAUGGAGAAAAGACAGCUUCGUCAAUAAGUGGUGCUGGGAAAACUGGACAGCUACAUGUAAAAGAAUGAAAUUAGAACACUACCUAACACCAUACACAAAAACUCCAAAUGGAUUAAAGACCUUUAUAUAAGACCAAACACUAUAAAACUCUUAGAGGAAAACAUAGGCAGAACACUCUCUGACAUAAAUCACAGCAAGAUCUUUUUUGACCCACAUUCUAGAGUAAUGUAAAUAAAAACAAAAAUAAAUGGGACCUAAUGAAACUUAAAAACUUUUUCACAGCAAAGGAAACCAUAAACAAGACGAAAAGAUAACCCUCAGAAUGGGAGAAAAUAUUUGAAAUGAAACAACAGACAAAGAAUCUCCAAAAUAUACAAACAGCUCAUGCAGCUCAAUAUCAAAAAAACAAACAAUUUAAUUAAAAAAUGGGUGGAAGACUUAAACAGACAUUUCACCAAAGAAGACAUACAGGGGCUUCCCUGGUGGCGCAGUGGUUGAGAGUCCGCCUGCUGAUGCAGGGGAUAUGGGUUCGUGCCCCGGUCUGGGAAGAUCCCAUAUGCUGUGGAGCGGCUAGGCCUGUGAGCUGUGGCCGCUGAACCUGCCCGUCUGGAGCCUGUGCUCCGCAACAGGAGAGGCCACAACAGUGAGAGGCCCGCAUACCGCAAAAAAAAAAAAAAAAAAAAUCUAGAAACAAUAAAUGCCGGAAAAGGUGUGUUGAAAAGGGAACCCUCCUGCACUGUUUGUGGUAGUGUAAAUUGAUAUAACCACUAUGGAGAGCAGUGUGGAGGUUCCUUAGAAAACUAAAAAUAGAACUACCAUAUGACCCAGCAAUCCCACUACUGGGCAUUGACCCUGAGGAAACCGUAAUUCAGAAAGAGACAUGUACCACAGUGUUCAUUGAAGCACUAUUUACAAUAGACAGGACAUGGAACCAACCUAAAUGUCCAACGACAGAUGAAUGGAUAGAGAAGAUAUGGCACAUAUAUACAAUAGAAUAUUACUCAUCCAUAAAAAGAAAUGAAAUUGAGUUAUUUGUAAUGAGGUGGAUGGACCUAGAGUCUGUCAUACACAAUGAAAUAAGUCAAAAAGAAAAACAAAUACUGUAUGCUAACACAUAUAUAUGGAACCUAAAAAAAAAACAAAAAAUGGUACUGAUGAACCUAGUUGCAGGGCAGGAAUAAAGAGGUAGACAUAGAAAAUGGACUUGAGGACAUGGGGUGGGAGGGGGAAGCUGGGGCAAAGUGAGAGUAGCGUCGACAUAUAUACACUACCGAAUGUAAAAUAGUUGGCUGGUGGGAAGCAGCAGCAUAGCACAGAGAGAUUGGCUCAGUGCUUUGCAAUGACCUAGAGGGGUGAGAUAGGGAGGAUGGGAGGGAAGCUCAAGAGAGAGGGGAUAUGGGGACAUGUGUAUGCAUAUGGCUGAUUCGCUUUGCUGUGCAACAGAAACUAACACAGUAUUGUGAAGCAAUUAUAGUUCAAUAAAUAUCUAUUAAAAAAAAAAGAAAACUGAGUUAUUUGUAGUGAGGUGGAUGGACCUAGAGUCUGUCAUACACAAUGAAGUAAGUGAGAAAGAGAAAAACAAAUACCAUAUGCUAACACAUACAUAUGGAAUCUAAAAAAAAAUAAAAAUAUAGAACUGAUGAACCUUGUGGCAGGGCAGGAAUAAAGACGUAGACAUAGAGAAUGGACUUGAGGACAUGGGAGGGGAGGCGCAAUUUGGGGCAAAGUGAGAGUGGCGUAGACGUAUAUAUACUACCGAAUGUAAAAUAGUUAGCUAGUGGGAAGCAGCACCAUAGCACCGGGAGAUCAACUCUAUGCUUGUGAUGACCUAGAAGGGUGGGAUAGGGAGGGAGGCUCAAGAGGGAGGGUAUAUGGGGAUAUAUGUAUGCAUAUGGCUGAUUCACUUUGUUGUACAGCAGAAACUAACACAGUAUUGUGAAGCAGUUAUACUCCAAUAAAGAUCUACUAAAAAAAAAAAAAGAAAGAAAGUCCACUUGCUUUGAUCCCUAUUCGGGGAACUAAGAUCCCACAUGCCGCAGGACAACUAAGCCUAUGCACCACAACUAGGGAGAAGCCCACGCGCUGCAACAAAGAGCCCAAAACAGCCAAUCAAUCAAUCAAUCAAUAUACACUUGUGACCAAGUCUCAAAGAUUUGGAUCUGAACCAGAGUGGCCCAGGGAAAUGUGUCCCAGGCCCAAAUUAUCCCUGACUCAGGAAAAUUUAGACACUAACCCCAAUGCUACCCUUGCACCAAAGAACCAAUAGACCUUAGUGAUGAUGAGCACUCACUAUAUGCUACGCACAUCCCCCAGAGACAGUUGUUUUAACUAUCCUCAUUUUACACAUGAGGAAAUUUAAACUUGCCUACAGUCUUAGUGGUGGGUGUGGCUAAGCUCAAGUCUGCAGUUAAUGCCUCUGCUGUGGCAUCUUCAGUGGAGCCCACUUACUGCUGUGGAACCCUCUGAAUUAUCCUUAUUUCCUGGCUGAUGAAUUUUUAAACCACAAAGACAUUAUAUUCUCUUGUUUUUAAGGCUGAACACUAACAGAAUCUUCAAUUUUUUAUUUGUUAGCUUGUUCUUGUUUUACCACUCUAGAAGUGCUUGUGAUUUACUAAACUUCCUUGUUUCAGUUUUAGUACAUACAGUUUAUAUCUUCUAAUCUUUCCUCUUCAGGGAUUCUGAGCUCCUGUAGGAAUUCCGAAAAACUAUUACCUUUUCUGGUAAUUGAGAAUUCACCAGUAAAGUCUUGGAAUUAAUGUGCUCAACCCAGAACCCUCAAGAAUAGGAGGUAACCUAUCCAGGUUUAUAGAGGACCUUCUUGCCACUUCUCCCAGAGUAACUUUAAUAGCAUAUAGAGACUGUGCGUCUUCCAAAGGGUUAAGGGUUUGAAUUAGAGUCACCACAACUCAGCAACUUUUAUGCUACAGUUUAGAAAAAGGGGUCCAUAUGUAGGGGAAAUUUAGUGCCUUCUAAUAACCUUAGUAUACUUGAAUUUAGUUAUUAAGUUACCUUAUCUAUAGACAGAACAAAUUCAUGUCCUUUAAUUUAAAAACAAAUUAAUCUUUCAUGACUGCUCCAUUAAACAGAGUUGUAUUGAUUUCUAUCUGGUAGCCUGUGCUUUUCCAGAGAGUUAUAACUGAUUGUUGACUUCUUUUCUGUGGACAGGUAUAUUAAAUAUAACUGACCUAGUCAGACUAUUACAGCCAACUCUUCCUUUUAUUUAAAGAGUGACUCUUUUCUCCGUCUGUAGGGCCACUGUAGCUCUUUAUUUCAGGAUGUUUUCUUUGUUUUCACAUAGACCCAGCAGUUCCCAAGGCAGGUUUUCAAUAUUCAGUACUGUUUCCAGAAAUGCCAUGACAUUUUCAGAAUCAAAUAAACCUUGAUUAAUUUUAAUUUAAAAGUCAUGGUUUUUUGUCACAUAUUGUAGAAGACUAAAGAGACAUAACUAAAUGUGAUGUGGGAUCUUGAAUUGGAGCCUAGUAAAGUGUGAAGUUUAGUUAAUAGUAUUGUGCCAGUGUUGAUUUCCCGUUAUUGUACUAUGGUUGUGUAAGAUUUUACCACUGGGGACACUUACCUGGCAGUCCAGUGGUUAAGACUCCCUGCUUCCACUGCAGAGGGCGCAGUUUCUGUCCCUGGUUGGGGAACUAAGAUCCUGCAUGCCGCAACAACCUUGGGGCUUUCGUAUUUGAAAUUCUCUUCCUAGGGUCAAGAAAAGGAGGGGGGGGCGCUUCCCUGAUGGUCCAGUGGGUAAGGCUCCGCGCUCCCAGCAGGGGGCCCAGGGUUCAAUCCCUGGUCAGAGAACUAAAAGAUUCAGCAUGCAUGCCGCAACUAAGGAGUCCGCAUGCAGCAACUAAGACCUGGUGCAGCCAAAAUAAAUAAAUAUUUUUUUUUAAAAAAAAGGAUUUUAACGUUAGGGGAAGUUAGGCAAAGUGUAUGUGGGAACUUGUGAACUUUUCUGUAAAUCUAAAAUUAUUUCAAAAUUAAAAGUUUUUUAAAACAUAUAUACGUAUAUUUUUUUCACUGUUCAAAAUUCUUUGGGAAUUACAGUACAGUAUUGGCCUUUCUUGGGCCUCUCUCUCUAAGCAGUGAAGAUAACGCUGGAUGUAUCAGCAUGCUCAUUGCCCAUAGGAAGCAGUCACAGAAAUUGUUUCACUUGUGCGUUCAUUCAAACACUGUCCAGUGCAAAUUUAGUAAGGUCCAUGGAAGGCAGCAGCAGGCUCUCAUGGGAAGAGUAAAGGAUUUCGAUUCAGACAUGGUUUCAGUCCCUCUUCUACCACUCACUAGUAGUUUCAGUUUGGGCAACCAACUUGACCUUUCUGUGUCUCAGUUUCUUCUGAGUAUAAUACCUACCCCACAGUGAUUAUAAGGAUUAAAUGAUAUUUAUGUAUGUGAAUGCUAGUCAUAGACUCUCUAAAACAUUAUGUAAAAUGUUUAUUUUGAUUAAUAUCCUAAAAGAUUGUUUUUUAAAUUUUUUAAAAUUUUUGGCCAUACCACGCAGCAUGAAGGAUCUUAGUUCCCCGUCCAGGGGUCAAACCCACGCCUCCCUCAUUGGAAGGCGGAGUCUUAACCACUGGACCACUGAGGAAGACCCUUUAAAGAAUUGUUUGAAGGAAAAAAGAUUCCCCAGUUUGGGGGAUUAUAUGUUCAACUGGGUCUCCUGAGGUGAUUUUUCCUAGAUUAAUUGUAUUGCUGCACUGAGUGCAAUCAAAAUCCAUAGGUGAUAUAUUUAUAAUUGUGCUUAUGCUAUUUUGAAUAUUUGAUUAUUAACAAUAAGUUUGAACUUGAAUCAAUAUGACUAAGAAACACAAAGUAGUAAGCUGAACAUUAUAGUCUAUUUAAUAUAGAGAUUUUACAUGCACAUUUUUUCUUACUUAUUUAAGCCGGUGUCUAACCCUUUUGCUUUGGAAGUCAUGACCCUAGGAAGAGCAUUUCAAAUAUGAAAGCCCCCAGGUUGUUAGUUUCCUGAAAUUUAAAGCGAAAACCAUCAAUGGAAUCUAUGGAGUUAUUUUCAAGAGAGACCCUAGAAAGAUACAAUCUCCAAUCCAUCAACUAUAUGAGACCUCUAACCUUGUAGUUUGUUUCCAAAAGUAAACUAUUCUAUAAUGAAUUGAAAACAAGGAGCUCAGUGAAAGUAUUUAAGUAGUGCUGCCAACUGUCUGUGAUGAAAUUUUGUUUUUUUAUUUUACACCUGAGAGAUGUAAAGUUGAUUCUAAGUACAUAUUUCAGAUGGUUAAAUGCUCUGAUUCAGUGUUUGCUGAAGAGCUGCUGUGUGGCUUCAACCAGAUCCUAAGUAUUCUCCCUGCUGUGCCUACUGUCUGUUGAUUUACUCGCUUCUAUAAAGCAGCCUCACAGAGAUCAAUGAAGUUCUUUUUCACAAAUCCCAAUCUAAAGCCAAGACCAAAAGAAGUCAAAGAAAUAGAAGAUCCUUUUUUUAAAUUAUUUAUUUAUUUAUUUAUUUAUUUUUGGCUGCGUUGGGUCCUUGUUGCUGUGCACAGGCUUUCUCUAGUUGCGGCGAGUGGGGGCUACUCUUUGAUGUGGUGCACAGGCUUCUCAUUGCAGUGGCUUGUCUUGUUGCAGAGCAUGGGCUCUAGGCACGCGGGCUUCAGUAGUUGUGGCACAUGGGCUCAGUAGUUGUGGUGCGCGGGCUCUAGAGCACAGGCUCAGUAGUUGUGGUGCAUGGGCUUAGUUGCUCUGCGGCAUGUGGGACCUUCCCAGACCAGGGAUCAAACCUGUGUCUCCUGCACUGGCAGGCGGAUUCUUAACCACUGCGCCACCAGGGAAGUCCCUAGAAGAUCUUCUAGUGAAGUCAGAGAUGCUCAUCAGUAGUCCUCAAGUGGUUUUUUUUUUUUUAAUUUGGUUGUGCUGGGUCUUAGUUGUGGCAGGUGGGCUCCUUAAUUGCGUCUUGUGGGCUCCUUAGUUGUGGCUCGCCAGCUCCUUAGUUGCGGCAUGUGGGCUCCUUAGUUGUGGCACAUGAACUCUUACUUGCAGCAUGCAUGUGGGAUCUAGUUCCCCAACCAGGGAUCGAACCCUUGCCCCUUGCAUUGGGAGUGCAGAGUCUUAUCCACUGUGCCACCAGGGAUGUCUCCUCAAGUGCUUUUUUGAGUAGAGAGAAAUAUUAAAAAGACUAAUUGUUACUGAGUUGAUAAAAUGAAUGAGUGAAAUCUCUGUUAUCCUCAAAGAAUGCAUUUUCCAAUUCAGUAAAACGUAGUUUAUUAGAAAUAGAUGGAAACUUCUUAACAUGGUAAGUGUGUUUGUGUAUAUGUAUGUUGUCUCAAGCUAUACACAUCCUAUUUACUGAUAAAACAGCAGUCUCAUUAGAUUACGAAUAAGACAGGAAUGUCCAUUCUUAAUGUUAUUUUUAACAUUGUUCUAGAGACAGUAGACAACUCAGAGAAGAAACAAUUUAUAUAUACAUAAUUGUAAAGGAGGAAUUUAAAUUAUCAUUCAGUAAUUACCUUGUCUAAGCAAAUGUUGAUUUAAGACAGAUAGCUACAGGAUAUUUAUGAAAUAUCUAAUAAUCUUUGCAGAAAAUUUUCCUCACCAAAUCUAUCCAGAAAAGGCCAGGGUUUUCAACCAAGUCUUUUGAAUAAGAAUGAAGUUUGAAAAAGCCUUACAAAUCUUCACAAACAACACAGGGAACCUUUUUUCUAUUCCCAUUUACAGUUAGAUUUUUAUUUUAUUCUCCUUAAUAAGUAAUAUGUAAUAUGUAUAUGUGCUAUAAAAUACAAAAGGUAUCAUAAACAAAUAUUCAGUGAAAAGUCAGUCUCCUCCCAGCCCUGUCAGAGACAAAUCACUGGUACCAGUUUUUUAUGUUCCCUUCCAGAGACUUCUUAGGCAUAUACAAAACUAGCUUCUCUCUUCAUUCUUUUUACAUAAACAAUUUUUUUUUUUUUUUUUUGCGGUACACGGGCCUCUCACUGUUGCGGCCUCUCCCGUUGCAGAGCACAGGAUCCGGACGCGCAGGCUCAGCGGCCAUGGCUCACGAGCCUAGCCGCUCCGCGGCAUGUGGGAUCUUCCCAGACUGGGGCACAAACCCGUGUCCCCCGCAUCAGCAGGCGGACUCUAAACCACUGCGCUACCAGGGAAGCCCUCUUUUUACAUUAAUAGUAAUAUGCCACAUAUACUGUUCUGUACCUUGUUUUUGUUUUAUUUACUUAGCAAUAUUAUAAUGGAAACUGUGCCAAAUCAGCACAUCCAUAGAUCCAGAGCAUUUUUUUUAACAAUUGCAAAAUUAGAUUAUGGUUAUAUACUAUAACUUAACCAGUUGCAUAUUUAGGUUGCUUUCAACCUGUUGCUAUUACAAGCAAGGCUGGAAAGAAGACCUUGGUACAUGUGUGUCAUUUAAGGUAGGCAGUAGAUGGGCCCCUGGGCUGAGCAGCUGAAGUUUGUCAAGCAGAGUAAAUUGGAACUUUCUUUUCCCUAGACACUCCAAGGACAAAAUUAAUGGCAGGAGCUAAGGUCUGCUGGAAUAAAGAGAUAAGAGGACCACAUCUAUCACUCCUGAGAUCAAGGAAACGUCCCUGACUACACACGCACAAGAAGGCUCCUCAGGGGUCAAAAAGGGAGGGGGCAUCAUCCCAUAAUAUGUGUGGCCAUACUCCAUUUAGCCUUUGUGCUGGAAUUCAUCUUGACAAAAAGAUGCGCAUGCAUAUAGGGAAGGGUCCUAGGGCAGUUCAGAUGUGGAAAAGAAGUGAGAUAAUUGGCCAGAGGAAAACUAAGAUCCAGAAGAACUGCCCCUACAUAAACGAUUUAACCACCUCUUUACUGCAUUCCUCCUCAUUAGGAAGGAUGCCCAAACCCUUUCUCUCUGGGUGUGUAUUCCUGUUUUGCUCCUGCCUUAAAUAAGUGAACUGCUUCUCUGUGUGCUCUCCCACAUGUUGUGCUGUGCUUCUAAUAAUAAACUUUGUACCUGUUUUUACAGU